CAGCUUGCUGCGGGUACUCGAGUGGCGAACGGGUGAGUAACACGUGGGUGAUCUGCCCUGCACUUCGGGAUAAGCUUGGGAAACUGGGUCUAAUACCGGAUAGGACAGCUGUUUAGUGUCAGUUGUGGAAAGUUUUUUCGGUGCAAGAUGAGCUCGUGGCCUAUCAGCUUGUUGGUGGGGUAAUGGCCUACCAAGGCGUCGACGGGUAGCCGGCCUGAGAGGGUGUACGGCCACAUUGGGACUGAGAUACGGCCCAGACUCCUACGGGAGGCAGCAGUGGGGAAUAUUGCACAAUGGGCGGAAGCCUGAUGCAGCGACGCCGCGUGGGGGAUGAAGGCCUUCGGGUUGUAAACUCCUUUCGACAGGGACGAAGCGUAAGUGACGGUACCUGUAUAAGAAGCACCGGCUAACUACGUGCCAGCAGCCGCGGUAAUACGUAGGGUGCGAGCGUUGUCCGGAAUUACUGGGCGUAAAGAGCUCGUAGGUGGUUUGUCGCGUCGUCUGUGAAAUUCCGGGGCUUAACUCCGGGCGUGCAGGCGAUACGGGCUGACUUGAGUGCUGUAGGGGAGACUGGAAUUCCUGGCGUAGCGGUGAAAUGCGCAGAUAUCAGGAGGAACACCGAUGGCGAAGGCAGGUCUCUGGGCAGUAACUGACGCUGAGGAGCGAAAGCAUGGGUAGCGAACAGGAUUAGAUACCCUGGUAGUCCAUGCCGUAAACGGUGGGCGCUAGGUGUAGGGGGCUUCCACGUCUUCUGUGCCGUAGCUAACGCAUUAAGCGCCCCGCCUGGGGAGU
rnacentral:rRNA from 1 species